rnacentral:miRNA from 1 species
AAAAUUGCACUGAGGCUUUUGG